UAAAAAUGAAAUUAAACAAAUCAAUCUCAAAACCAUACAGCAAAUAACACGUAAAGCUGCUCAGGAUGAAUGAAACAAUCAUAAUUCAUGUAAUUGCAAGAUAGAAGAUGGAAAAGGAGUGUCUUAAUCAGAUUCUCCGAGAAGCCAUUACAUUUAAGGAUUUAGAAAACGUCAAGGAUAGUCUUGCCGGAGGUGCAGAUAUUAACGGAUGUGACUGGGAUGGAUGGACCCCAUUACAUAUUGCUGCUUCUGCAGGACUCACCGCACAUGUUGAAUUGAUAUUAGAAACACUAGAUGCAGACUUUAAUGCGCAAAAUGUGG